AUUGAACGCUGGUGGCAGGCCUAACACAUGCAAGUCGAGCGGAUGAAGAGAGCUUGCUCUCUGAUUUAGCGGCGGACGGGUGAGUAAUGCCUAGGAAUCUGCCUGGUAGUGGGGGAUAACGUUCCGAAAGGAACGCUAAUACCGCAUACGUCCUACGGGAGAAAGCAGGGGACCUUCGGGCCUUGCGCUAUCAGAUGAGCCUAGGUCGGAUUAGCUAGUUGGUGAGGUAAUGGCUCACCAAGGCGACGAUCCGUAACUGGUCUGAGAGGAUGAUCAGUCAAACUGGAACUGAGACACGGUCCAGACUCCUUCGGGAGGCAGCGGUGGGGAAUAUUGGACAAUGGGCGAAAGCCUGAUCCAGCCAUGCCGCGUGUGUGAAGAAGGCCCUCGGGUCGUAAAGCACUUUAAGUUGGGAGGAAGGGCUUACAGCGAAUACCUGUGAGUUUUGACGUUACCGACAGAAUAAGCACCGGCUAACUUCGUGCCAGCAGCCGCAGUAAAAC
rnacentral:rRNA from 1 species